CCGCGCGGGAGGGCGCGCUGGGCGGACGCUGGGGCCGCGGAGCCCAACCGCCCUUGUCCUGGACGCCCCUUGGCGGUCCGCACUGGCGGGUGCCCUCUCCCGAGGGGAACUGAGGCGGGGCGCCUGCCACCAUUCGUGAUUUUCCGUGACUCACCCUCUCAACAGUGUCCCGUCAGCCCCCGCUUUCUGGAAUUAAGAUGAUUUUCCAUGGGCAUUAUAGUCAGAGGAGGUUUUCUGUGAGACAUCUGGGAAAGGUGACUCAAUGAUCACUCAUAUUGUUCUAUGAUGUUAUACAUUUAACCGGAAUACUGGUGAACAGCUUUUAUAUCUUGGAAUUUUUUCCCAUUUUUGAAUCAGAAAUUUAGGACCAAGAAUCUUCUGUCACAGAACCUAUUACUUUGAGGAGUGAACUUAUAUUAACGGUGCUAAACCGUACAUGAACGACUUGGUAGAUGAAAACUUUGGAAAAUAGGAACAUUUCAUGUCAUCACAUGUAUCCUCCAGCAUUGGGGAAAAUUCAACAGUUGCCUUAAGGCGGGAGUUUAAUUGAGGACAUUUACUAAAAAGUUACUUAUUCUGUUUGAAAUUCUCUUCUGAUAAACAUCUUCCCGGGAUAACGAACAUCUCCAGGAUGUGAGAGCCGAGCGCGUGUCCGCGGAGUGCUUGAGCAACGCAGAAUGGCUUCGGUGCUGCGUUCCUUAGACCCCGUGCGGACCCUGCUGAGCCCUCAGCAUCUGUGAAUUGUGAAUAAUUGGUCUACUUUGAAGCUCAGAAGAGUCAUUGUGAAUAAUAUGGACAGAGUAAAAGAGUUAUGACAUUAGCUGUUAGUGACAUUAGCUCGAAGCCCACAAUAGUCAUAGAAAGGGGGAGACUUCACAACACCAUCUCCCUGGUAUCCACUGGACUUUGAUGGGUGGCAUCCACUAGCGGAAUUCAGAAAAAUGAAGGUGUGAAAUCGGUUUUUAUAAAGAAGAGAACCAUGCUAUGGAGAAGGAUUACUGUAUCGCCUCUUCAGAAGCCUUGUAUGAUGCCAUCCUGGGAUACAGCUGAGGUAUAGAUGAAAGGAUUCAGCAUCGGAGCCACCAUUGAAUACAUGAUGGUUGACAGAGUGUCGC
rnacentral:lncRNA from 1 species